AUUGAACGCUGGCGGCAGGCCUCACACAUGCAAGUCGAGCGAGCGGCGGACGGGUGAGUAAUGUCUGGGAAACUGCCUGAUGGAGGGGGAUAACUACUGGAAACGGUAGCUAAUACCGCAUACCAUCAGAUGUGCCCAGAUGGGAUUAGCUAGUAGGUGGGGUACCGGCUCACCUAGGCGACGAUCCCUAGCUGGUCUGAGAGGUUAACCAGCCACACUGGAACUGAGACUCGGUCCAGACUCCUACGUGAGGCAGCAGUGGGGAAUAUUGCACAAUGUGCGCAAGCCUGAUGCAGCCAUGCCGCGUGUGUUAAGAAGGCCUUCGGGUUGGAAAGCACUUUCAGCGGUGAGGCGUUACCCGCAGAAGAAUCACCGGCUAACUCCGUGCCAUCAGCCGCGGUAAUAC
rnacentral:rRNA from 1 species